rnacentral:rRNA from 1 species
CCUACGGGUGGCAGCAGUGAGGAAUCUUGGUCAAUGGGCGAGAGCCUGAACCAGCCAAGUAGCGUGAAGGAUGACUGCCCUACGGGUUGUAAACUUCUUUUAUAGGGGAAUAAAUUGAUGCACGUGUGCCUUUUUGUAUUUACUUUAUGAAUACGGAUCGGCUAACUCCGUGCCAGCAGCCGCGGUAAUACGGAGGAUCCGAGCGUUAUCCGGAUUUAUUGGGUUUGAAGGGAGCGUAGGUGGGUUGUUAAGUCAGUUGUGAAAGUUUGCGGCUCAACCGUAGAGUUGCAGUUGAUACUGGCAGUCUUGAGUACAGUAGAGGUAGGUGGAAUUCGUGGUGUAGCGGUGAAAUGCGUAGAGAUCACGAAGAACUCCGAUUGCGAAGGCAGCUUACUAGACUGCCACUGACAUUGAUGCGCGAAAGUGUGGGUAUCAAACAGGAUUAGAUACCCGUGUAGUC